ACGUGGGUAACCUACCUAUAAGACUGGGAUAACUCCGGGAAACCGGGGCUAAUACCGGAUAAUAUUUUGAACCGCAUGGUUCAAUAGUGAAAGACGGUUUCGGCUGUCACUUAUAGAUGGACCCGCGCCGUAUUAGCUAGUUGGUAAGGUAACGGCUUACCAAGGCGACGAUACGUAGCCGACCUGAGAGGGUGAUCGGCCACACUGGAACUGAGACACGGUCCAGACUCCUACGGGAGGCAGCAGUAGGGAAUCUUCCGCAAUGGGCGAAAGCCUGACGGAGCAACGCCGCGUGAGUGAUGAAGGUCUUCGGAUCGUAAAACUCUGUUGUUAGGGAAGAACAAAUUUGUUAGUAACUGAACAAGUCUUGACGGUACCUAACCAGAAAGCCACGGCUAACUACGUGCCAGCAGCCGCGGUAAUACGUAGGUGGCAAGCGUUAUCCGGAAUUAUUGGGCGUAAAGCGCGCGUAGGCGGUUUCUUAAGUCUGAUGUGAAAGCCCACGGCUCAACCGUGGAGGGUCAUUGGAAACUGGGAAACUUGAGUGCAGAAGAGGAGAGUGGAAUUCCAUGUGUAGCGGUGAAAUGCGCAGAGAUAUGGAGGAACACCAGUGGCGAAGGCGGCUCUCUGGUCUGUAACUGACGCUGAUGUGCGAAAGCGUGGGGAUCAAACAGGAUUAGAUACCCUGGUAGUCCACGCCGUAAACGAUGAGUGCUAAGUGUUAGGGGGUUUCCGCCCCUUAGUGCUGCAGCUAACGCAUUAAGCACUCCGCCUGGGGAGUACGACCGCAAGGUUGAAACUCAAAGGAAUUGACGGGGACCCGCACAAGCGGUGGAGCAUGUGGUUUAAUUCGAAGCAACGCGAAGAACCUUACCAAAUCUUGACAUCCUUUGACCGCUCUAGAGAUAGAGUCUUCCCCUUCGGGGGACAAAGUGACAGGUGGUGCAUGGUUGUCGUCAGCUCGUGUCGUGAGAUGUUGGGUUAAGUCCCGCAACGAGCGCAACCCUUAAGCUUAGUUGCCAUCAUUAAGUUGGGCACUCUAGGUUGACUGCCGGUGACAAACCGGAGGAAGGUGGGGAUGACGUCAAAUCAUCAUGCCCCUUAUGAUUUGGGCUACACACGUGCUACAAUGGAUAAUACAAAGGGCAGCGAAUCCGCGAGGCCAAGCAAAUCCCAUAAAAUUAUUCUCAGUUCGGAUUGUAGUCUGCAACUCGACUACAUGAAGCUGGAAUCGCUAGUAAUCGUAGAUCAGCAUGCUACGGUGAAUACGUUCCCGGGUCUUGUACACACCGCCCGUCACACCACGAGAGUUUGUAACACCCGAAGCCGGUGGAGUAACCUUUUAGGAGCUAGCCGUCGAAGGUGGGACAAAUGAUUGGGGUGAAGUCGUAACAAGGUAGCCGUAUCGGAAGGUGCGGCUGGAUCACCUCCUUUCUAAGGA
rnacentral:rRNA from 1 species